AAAUCCAGGGUUAAAAUAUACCUUACCGAAUUUGCAAUUCGCGCUUCCGGACUUAUGGAAAGGAGAGGAAUUUCACCU
rnacentral:tRNA from 1 species